rnacentral:rRNA from 2 species
ACUGGGCGUAAGCGCGCGUAGGUGGUUAAUUAAGUCAAAUGUGAAAUCCCCGAGCUUAACUUGGGAAUUGCAUUCGAUACUGGUUAGCUAGAGUAUGGGAGAGGAUGGUAGAAUUCCAGGUGUAGCGGUGAAAUGCGUAGAGAUCUGGAGGAAUACCGAUGGCGAAGGCAGCCAUCUGGCCUAAUACUGACACUGAGGUGCGAAAGCAUGGGGAGCAAACAGGAUUAGAUACCCUGGUAGUCCAUGCCGUAAACGAUGUCUACUAGCCGUUGGGGGAUUUGAUCCUUUAGUGGCGCAGCUAACGCGAUAAGUAGACCGCCUGGGGAGUACGGUCGCAAGACUAAAACUCAAAUGAAUUGACGGGGGCCCGCACAAGCGGUGGAGCAUGUGGUUUAAUUCGAUGCAACGCGAAGAACCUUACCUGGCCUUGACAUAGUAGAGACUUUCCAGAGAUGGAUUGGUGCCUUCGGGAAUCUACAUACAGGUGCUGCAUGGCUGUCGUCAGCUCGUGUCGUGAGAUGUUGGGUUAAGUCCCGCAACGAGCGCAACCCUUUUCCUUACUUGCCAGCAUUUCGGAUGGGAACUUUAAGGAUACUGCCAGUGACAAACUGGAGGAAGGCGGGGACGACGUCAAGUCAUCAUGGCCCUUACGGCCAGGGCUACACACGUGCUACAAUGGUCGGUACAAAGGGUUGCUACACAGCGAUGUGAUGCUAAUCUCAAAAAGCCGAUCGUAGUCCGGAUCGCAGUCUGCAACUCGACUGCGUGAAGUCGGAAUCGCUAGUAAUCGCGGAUCAGAAUGCCGCGGUGAAUACGUUCCCGGGCCUUGUACACACCGCCCGUCACACCAUGGGAGUUUGUUGCACCAGAAGUAGGUAGUCUAACCGCAAGGAGGACGCUUACCACGGUGUGGCCGAUGACUGGGGG